rnacentral:lncRNA from 1 species
AGAGUCACUUCACCUCUAUUAUGAACAUCUCCUUGAUUCAAGUCCUACUUUGCUCUAACGGCUCUUCGCCUUCCUGGCCACUGCAUCAGGAUGUUGAGGCAGCACAUUCCUGACUUGUGUGAUGAUCUGUCAAACAAAUCCAUCGCAUUCUGCGCUGGGUAAUACUGACACAGCCGGAGACAUAAGCUUGUCUAGAUACAGAUUCUGCACCUCUUGACCUUGAUACGUGAUUCGUGCUGAUGUAGGAAGUUUGAUUGGCUCAUUUGUGUCUGCAUUGAUCUCUUCAGGUACUCCUUCAGAUGCUUUUGGAGUUAUUUUUAGUGGUCCCUCUGCAAUGUAGACUUGACUAUCAGAGUAUAGUCUUUCAAACAGGCAAGUACGUACUACCAACUUGGAAGUCCUCUUUCACAAUCAAACUAAAGCAGAGUUUUUUGGUAACAGAACAGCUUUUGAAAAUUAGGUUAUGGAUCGUUAGACAAAGCGACAUUCACCCACAGUAGAAAAAAUAAAAAUAAAAAUAAAACAGAAGCACCACCAUUUUACAAACUUCAGCACAACUGGAACAACUACUUGAAAGUCCAGCCAACCUUUGAACAAGAGGGACGGAGUGACCUCCAC